rnacentral:rRNA from 1 species
GAUGAACGCUGGCGGCGUGCCUAAUACAUGCAAGUCGAGCGAACGGACGAGAAGCUUGCUUCUCUGAUGUUAGCGGCGGACGGGUGAGUAACACGUGGAUAACCUACCUAUAAGACUGGGAUAACUUCGGGAAACCGUAGCUAAUACCGGAUAAUAUUUUGAACCGCAUGGUUCAAAAGUGAAAGACGGUCUUGCUGUCACUUAUAGAUGGAUCCGCGCUGCAUUAGCUAGUUGGUAAGGUAACGGCUUACCAAGGCAACGAUGCAUAGCCGACCUGAGAGGGUGAUCGGCCACACUGGAACUGAGACACGGUCCAGACUCCUACGGGAGGCAGCAGUAAGGAAUCUUCCGCAAUGGGCGAAAGCCUGACGGAGCAACGCCGCGUGAGUGAUGAAGGUCUUCGGAUCGUAAAACUCUGUUAUUAGGGAAGAACAUAUGUGUAAGUAACUGUGCACAUCUUGACGGUACCUAAUCAGAAAGCCACGGCGAACUACGU